rnacentral:lncRNA from 1 species
UUUUCAACCUGUUUUAUUUCGCUAACGCCAUUUUCACUCUAAAAACAAUAUAAGGUAGUUGCGCCUAUAUAAAAAUAGUUUGGUAAAAAUCCAACCAAUAUAUAGAGAACAAAGGUUCAUAACUGGAACUGAGAAAAAUGAAUAAAACGGUCCUCACAUAUAAAUGGAUUUUGAACAGCAGUGAUGGCUAACUUCUGUUUCCCUGAAAGUCUAUUUACCUACCAUAGAGAAGAAGUCUAAUCAUAUCAUAGACUAGUGAAAAUCACCAUGAAAUGAGGGUUUGCAUAUACCUCCCGACAACAAAAUCACAUGUUUUUCUUGAACUUAAGUUAAAAAA